UACGAGGGGUGCAAGCGUUGCUCGGAAUUAUUGGGCGUAAAGGGUAGGUAGGUGGUCUCAUUUGUCCGGGGUGAAAGCCUUGAGCUCAACUCAAGAAGUGCCUCGGAAACGGUGAGACUAGAGUACUGGAGAGGGUCGUGGAAUUCCCGGUGUAGCGGUGAAAUGCGUAGAGAUCGGGAGGAACACCAGAGGCGAAGGCGGCGUCCUGGACCAACACUGACACUGAUGAGCGAAAGCCAGGGGAGCAAACGGG
rnacentral:rRNA from 1 species